rnacentral:rRNA from 1 species
UAGAUACCCUGGUAGUCCACGCCGUAAACGAUGUCAACUAGCCGUUGGGAACCUUGAGUUCUUAGUGGCGCAGCUAACGCACUAAGUUGACCGCCUGGGGAGUACGGUCGCAAGAUUAAAACUCAAAUGAAUUGACGGGGGCCCGCACAAGCGGUGGAGCAUGUGGUUUAAUUCGAAGCAACGCGAAGAACCUUACCUGGCCUUGACAUGCUGAGAACUUUCCAGAGAUGGAUUGGUGCCUUCGGGAACU